rnacentral:rRNA from 1 species
CCUACGGGAGGCUGCAGUCGAGAAUCAUUCACAAUGGGGGAAACCCUGACGGGGCGACGCCGCGUGGGGGAAUGAAGGUCUGCGGAUUGUAAACCCCUGUCAUGUGGGAGCAAAUUAAAAAGAUAGUACCACAAGAGGAAGAGACGGCUAACUCUGUGCCAGCAGCCGCGGUAAUACAGAGGGCUCAAGCGUUGUUCGGAAUCACUGGGCGUAAAGGGUGCGGAGGCUGUUUCGUAAGUCGUGUGUGAAAGGCGCGGGCUCAACCCGCGGACGGCACAUGAUACUGCGAGACUAGAGUAAUGGAGGGGGAACCGGAAUUCUCGGUGUAGCAGUGAAAUGCGUAGAUAUCGAGAGGAACACUCGUGGCGAAGGCGGGUUCCUGGACAUUAACUGACGCUGAGGCACGAAGGCCAGGGGAGCGAAAGGGAUUAGAUACCCGUGUAGUC